UUUAMAMAUGCAAGUCGAACGGGAUCCAUCAAGCUUGCUUGGUGGUGAGAGUGGCGAACGGGUGAGUAAUGCGUGACCGACCUGCCCCAUACACCGGAAUAGCUCCUGGAAACGGGUGGUAAUGCCGGAUGCUCCAGUUGAUUGCAUGGUCUUCUGGGAAAGCUUUCGCGGUAUGGGAUGGGGUCGCGUCCUAUCAGCUUGACGGCGGGGUAACGGCCCACCGUGGCUUCGACGGGUAGCCGGCCUGAGAGGGCGACCGGCCACAUUGGGACUGAGAUACGGCCCAGACUCCUACGGGAGGCAGCAGUGGGGAAUAUUGCACAAUGGGCGCAAGCCUGAUGCAGCGACGCCGCGUGAGGGAUGGAGGCCUUCGGGUUGUAAACCUCUUUUAUCGGGGAGCAAGCGAGAGUGAGUUUACCCGUUGAAUAAGCACCGGCUAACUACGUGCCAGCAGCCGCGGUAAUACGUAGGGUGCAAGCGUUAUCCGGAAUUAUUGGGCGUAAAGGGCUCGUAGGCGGUUCGUCGCGUCCGGUGUGAAAGUCCAUCGCUUAACGGUGGAUCCGCGCCGGGUACGGGCGGGCUUGAGUGCGGUAGGGGAGACUGGAAUUCCCGGUGUAACGGUGGAAUGUGUAGAUAUCGGGAAGAACACCAAUGGCCGAAGGCAGGU
rnacentral:rRNA from 1 species